CGUUGGACCGCAACAAGUCUGUUGGAAUACAGCGGCAUAGUGGUGAGACCCCCGUAUAUGGUGCGGACGCCCAACGCUUUGUGAUACACUUUCGAAGAGUCGAGUUGUUUGGGAAUGCAGCUCAAAUUGGGUGGUAAAUUCCAUCUAAAGCUAAAUAUUGGCGAGAGACCGAUAGCGAACAAGUACCGUGAGGGAAAGAUGAAAAGCACUUUGGAAAGAGAGUUAACAGUACGUGAAAUUGUUGGAAGGGAAACGCUUGAAGUCAGACUUGCUUGCCGAGCAAUCGGUUUGCAGGCCAGCAUCAGUUUUCCGGGGUGGAUAAUGGUAGAGAGAAGGUAGCAGUUUCGGCUGUGUUAUAGCUCUCUGCUGGAUACACCUUGGGGGACUGAGGAACGCAGUGUGCCUUACGGCGGAUUUCUCGAGAUCUUCACACUUAGGAUGCUGGUGGAAUGGCUUUAAACGACC
rnacentral:rRNA from 1 species